GCAAAUUUGGAGACGCACCCUAAAAGGUGCCGGGGCUUCUCCCGUUUUAAGAGAGACGGGAGAAGG
rnacentral:tRNA from 1 species